UACAAACAAGUCAGGGGUGGGGGUGGGGCUAUGACCAAUGUUCAUUUAGGAAGAUGACCCAGGAAGCUUCACAAUAAGUACUAAGCCUAAGCCUCCAUCAAGAACAAAAUGUUUUUCUAUAUUAUAUAAUGUGCGGAUUUAGGAAGCUGAAACAGCUGCUCUCCGGUGGCAUUAUACAGUGCGUGGCCAAGUUGCGCUUAUGCGUUGGAAUAUGGAAGAGAAAAUGUAGUUCCAAAGGGAAUGGCUGUCUGAUGGCAAGGUGGCUAAAAUGUGUUUUGCUGCUGAGCCUGUCCACAGCAGUACAUUGCUUAGCUUCUGUGCUGGUACAACUCUCUGCUACUACAAACUGGGGGCGUGCUGACUGCCAUCUACUGCAGGGGUUACGUUCUAAAGCACAAAAAAAAUACAGCCACACCUCUGCACAACCCUGCGGGAAGGAGCCACAUUGCCGGAUUUUGGAUGAAUGCAGCCGAAGCCUGAACCGCCACCUUAACGUGGUGGAGGGGUUUGAGUACCCGAAUGAC